GAACGCUUCUUUCCUCCCGAGUGCUUGCACUCAAUUGGAAAGAGGAGUGGCGGACGGGUGAGUAACACGUGGGUAACCUACCCAUCAGAGGGGGAUAACACUUGGAAACAGGUGCUAAUACCGCAUAACAGUUUAUGCCGCAUGGCAUAAGAGUGAAAGGCGCUUUCGGGUGUCGCUGAUGGAUGGACCCGCGGUGCAUUAGCUAGUUGGUGAGGUAACGGCUCACCAAGGCCACGAUGCAUAGCCGACCUGAGAGGGUGAUCGGCCACACUGGGACUGAGACACGGCCCAGACUCCUACGGGAGGCAGCAGUAGGGAAUCUUCGGCAAUGGACGAAAGUCUGACCGAGCAACGCCGCGUGAGUGAAGAAGGUUUUCGGAUCGUAAAACUCUGUUGUUAGAGAAGAACAAGGACGUUAGUAACUGAACGUCCCCUGACGGUAUCUAACCAGAAAGCCACGGCUAACUACGUGCCAGCAGCCGCGGUAAUACGUAGGUGGCAAGCGUUGUCCGGAUUUAUUGGGCGUAAAGCGAGCGCAGGCGGUUUCUUAAGUCUGAUGUGAAAGCCCCCGGCUCAACCGGGGAGGGUCAUUGGAAACUGGGAGACUUGAGUGCAGAAGAGGAGAGUGGAAUUCCAUGUGUAGCGGUGAAAUGCGUAGAUAUAUGGAGGAACACCAGUGGCGAAGGCGGCUCUCUGGUCUGUAAC
rnacentral:rRNA from 1 species